rnacentral:rRNA from 1 species
UACGUAGGGUGCGAGCGUUAAUCGGAAUUACUGGGCGUAAAGUGUGCGCAGGCGGCCGCGCAAGUCGAGUGUGAAAGCCCCGGGCUUAAACUUGGGAAUUGCGCUCGAAACUACGUGGCUGGAGUGUGGCAGAGGAAGGUGGAAUUCCACGUGUAGCGGUGAAAUGCGUAGAGAUGUGGAGGAACACCAAUGGCGAAGGCAGCCUUCUGGGCCAACACUGACGCUCAUGCACGAAAGCGUGGGGAGCAAACAGG